CCUACGGGUGGCAGCAGUGGGGAAUAUUGGACAAUGGGGGCAACCCUGAUCCAGCCAUGCCGCGUGUGUGAAGAAGGCCCUCGGGUUGUAAAGCACUUUCAGUGAGGAAGAACGCCUGGUGGUUAAUACCCAUCAGGAAAGACAUCACUCACAGAAGAAGCACCGGCUAACUCCGUGCCAGCAGCCGCGGUAAUACGGAGGGUGCGAGCGUUAAUCGGAAUUACUGGGCGUAAAGCGCGCGUAGGUGGCUUGAUAAGCCGGUUGUGAAAGCCCCGGGCUCAACCUGGGAACGGCAUCUGGAACUGUCAAGCUAGAGUGCAGGAGAGGAAGGUAGAAUUCCCGGUGUAGCGGUGAAAUGCGUAGAGAUCGGGAGGAAUACCAGUGGCGAAGGCGGCCUUCUGGACUGACACUGACACUGAGGUGCGAAAGCGUGGGUAGCAAACAGGAUUAGAUACCCUUGUAGUC
rnacentral:rRNA from 1 species